rnacentral:misc_RNA from 1 species
GGAAGGAUCAUUAACACUAAUCCAACAAACUCAACCAAGCCUUCAGUUGCAGCAGUAGUAUGUGCUAGCGCAAGCAGGCCGUACCGCAGCUGCAACCCAAGCAAACCUAAUUCAAAGGAGUCUAACUAAGACCAACCAAAAAACCAAAUUCUCAACGAUGGAUAUCUUGGUUCCCAUAACGAUGAAGAACGCAGCGAAGUGCGAUAAGCAAUGCGAAUUGCAGAACCGUGAGUCAUCAGAUUUUUGAACGCAACUGGCGCCGGCCCUGGCCGGCAUGCUUGUUUCAGUGUAUCUUUUUCUCCUCACCCACAUCAUAAUGCGAGAGAUACCCUUCUCUUGCUAAGCAUGAAAGCACUCUGCGCUCUGCGAGCGGCUUCGACUUGUUCGAGGCCGCACUCAAUGCAGCCGUCACAUUGCUCACAAUGUGAACUCAUUGAGAGCAGAGGCAGUACAGCCUAGCUGUGCAGUGCUUAGCCACACAAUCUUUACUGAAAUCUGAAAUCAAGCAGGACCACCCGCUGAACUUAAGCAUAUCACUAAGCGGAGGAGAAGAAAUUAACUAAGAUUGCCUCAGUAACUGCGAGUGAAGCGGCAAAAGCCCAAACUGGAAAUCUUGCUCCUUCAGGAGUACGAAUUGUAAUCUAUAGGGAGGUUGCUCAGCGAAGUUGGCGCAGAAGUGCCCUGGAAUGGGACGCCAGAGAGGGUGACAGCCCCGUACGUGGUGCCAGCUUCUAACGAGUAUACUUUCGAAGAGUCGGGUUGUUUUGUAUUGCAGCCCUAAGCGGGAGAUAGACUUCUUCUAAGGCUAAAUACCUAUGGGAAACCGAUAGCGAACAAGUACUGUGAAGGAAAGAUGAAAAGAACUUUGAAAAGAGAGUCAAAAGACUUGAAAUCGUUGAGAAGGAAGCGGUAGAAAUUUAUCCUUCGGUGGGGCCUCGUGCAGGUUGCCUAAUCAUUGCACCCGUCCGGUACCGCAAGGGCCGGUGGGGGUACAUGUGGAAGUGGCCUGCUUGGGCUUCAUUGUGAGGCAAGAUGAGGUUGCAUUCCUGCAAAAGCGCCUGAUGCCCGGCUUGCUUGCAGGCAGCAUUGGGUGGCUAGUGGGCGUGCAGCCUGAGGAUGCCUUGUGCGAUCUUGCCAAAAUGGUUUUUACCGACCCGUCUCGAAACACGGACCAAGGAGUCUAACAUAUAUGCGAGUGUGCUGGUGGAAAAACCAACACGCGUAAUGAAGGUGAGUGAUGCCAAGCGCAAGCGGCAGCAUCAACCGACCAUGAUCCUCUGGUGAAAGGUUUGAGUAAGAGCAUACAUGCUAGGACCCGAAAGAUGGUGAACUAUGCCUGAGUAGGGUGAAGCCAGGGGAAACUCUGGUGGAGGCUCGUAGCGGUUCUGACGUGCAAAUCGAUCGUCAAACUUGGGUAUAGGGGCGAAAGACUAAUCGAACCAUCUAGUAGCUGGUUCCCUC